rnacentral:rRNA from 1 species
GACGAACGCUGGCGGCGUGCUUAACACAUGCAAGUCGAACGGAAAGGCCCUGCUUGCAGGGUACUCGAGUGGCGAACGGGUGAGUAACACGUGGGUGAUCUGCCCUGCACUUCGGGAUAAGCCUGGGAAACUGGGUCUAAUACCGGAUAGGAGCCCUCCUGCGUGUGAUGGUUGGAAAGUUUUUUCGGUGUAGGGUGAGUUCGCGGCCUAUCAGCUUGUUGGUGGGGUAAUGGCCUACCAAGGCGGCGACGGGCAGCCGGCCUGGGAGGGUGGACGGCCACAUUGGGACUGAGGAACGGCCCAGACUCCUACGGGGGGCAGCAGUGGGGAAUAUUGCACAAUGGGCGCAAGCCUGAUGCAGCGACGCCGCGUGGGGGAUGACGGGCUUCGGGUUGUAAACUCCUUUCGCUAGGGACGAAGCUUUUUGUGACGGUACCUAGAUAAGAAGCACCGGCUAACUACGUG